GUGCUUGCUUCGGCAGCUUAUGUACUAAAAUUGGAAUGAUACAGAGAAGAUUAGCAUGGCUCCUGCGCAAGGAUGACACACAAAUUCUUAAAGUGUUCCAUAUUUUU